AGUCCAUCAGCUUUUGGGGGAGCUGAUGCAUCCUUCUGCUCCAGGCCUGCCUCUCAGACCUGCCCACUGUGAUUUUCAGGGACAACAGGCAACCAAAUCAGAGUUGGCAAGACACCACAGGGCUUCUGAGACCACUGGAAAAGAGACCAACUCCAUCAGAUGUUCCGGAGACUGAGGAAUCAAAGCCUUAGAAGACCAGGGUUAGGAAAUUAUACAGCAACAGGACUAACAGGAGAACAGGACACUCUCCAAACUCUCCCUCCAGUCUAAGAUGAUGCCAGCUCCAGGAAGUUGGGGAUUGUCUUCCUCACUCCUGUAUUCCCGGCUCCUAGAACAGUGACUGUCACCCAGCAGCUGUUGAGCUAAUGGCUAUUGAGUGGACAACCACUCGAGCAACAAUGCAGUCAGCUUCGUGGACUUUGUUUUACUGAGGGGCAUCUGGAGAGUUGGGACCAGAGGUGAAUUGCUCAAGAGAAGAGGGAAGCAGUGAGGACACAGCUGUCCUCCUCCAUCUAUCCCCAGGUCAGGCAGCCCCCUCCUCUAAGGCAGAGAAUAUUGUUUGAAAGGCACUUGUCUUCACUUAUUUUGUGCUGCUACAACAGGAUACCACAACCUGAGGAAUUUAUAAUGAACAGAAAUUUAUUGGCUUAUGGUUCUAGAGACUGGGAAGUCCAAGAUCAUG
ensembl:lncRNA novel transcript